rnacentral:rRNA from 1 species
GUGGGGAAUUUUGGACAAUGGGCGCAAGCCUGAUCCAGCAAUGCCGCGUGCAGGAAGAAGGCCUUCGGGUUGUAAACUGCUUUUGUACGGAACGAAACGGUCCGGGUUAAUACCCUGGGCUAAUGACGGUACCGUAAGAAUAAGCACCGGCUAACUACGUGCCAGCAGCCGCGGUAAUACGUAGGGUGCAAGCGUUAAUCGGAAUUACUGGGCGUAAAGCGUGCGCAGGCGGUUUUGUAAGACAGGCGUGAAAUCCCCGGGCUCAACCUUGGAAUUGCGCUUGUGACUGCAAGGAUUGAGUGCGGCAGAGGGGGAUGGAAUUCCGCGUGUAGCAGUGAAAUGCGUAGAGAUGCGGAGGAACACCGAUGGCGAAGGCAAUCCCCUGGGCCUGCACUGACGCUCAUGCACGAAAGCGUGGGGAGCAAACAGGAUUAGAUACCCUGGUAGUCC